rnacentral:rRNA from 1 species
UACGGAGGGUGCAAACGUUGCUCGGAAUCAUUGGGCGUAAAGCGCACGUAGGCGGCCUGUUAAGUCGGGUGUGAAAGCCCUGGGCUCAACCCAGGAAGUGCACUCGAAACUGGCGGGCUUGAAUAGGGAAGAGGGUCGCGGAAUUCCCGGUGUAGAGGUGAAAUUCGUAGAUAUCGGGAGGAACACCAGUGGCGAAGGCGGCGACCUGGGCCAAUAUUGACGCUGAGGUGCGAAAGCGUGGGGAGCAAACAGG